UCCAAACUGCAGCAUCGUCAUGGUUCACAUCAUGAUCCAGACCCAAAUAUGGCCUCCAGACAAACUGUAAAACAAUACGAAACGAUUAUAUGGAAAAUAAUUUGAGAAGUCUUUUUAAAUUAAAAUAUAGUUGGGUAGGAUUAUUACAUCGUCAUGUCCAAUGUGGUCCAAUAGAUUGCGAUAGACUACAAUAGCGUAUUUCGGACACCUAUUGUAGUUC
rnacentral:lncRNA from 1 species